rnacentral:rRNA from 1 species
UCCGUAGGUGGCUAAUUAAGUCAGAGGUGAAAUCCUGCAGCUCAACUGUAGAAUUGCCUUUGAUACUGGUUAUCUUGAGUCAUUAUGAAGUGGUUAGAAUGUGUAGUGUAGCGGUGAAAUGCAUAGAUAUUACACAGAAUACCGAUUGCGAAGGCAGAUCACUAAUAAUGUACUGACACUGAGGGACGAAAGCGUGGGGGGCGAACAGGAUUAGAUACCCUGGUAGUCC